rnacentral:rRNA from 1 species
UGAGGAAUAUUGGACAAUGGGCGCAAGCCUGAUCCAGCCAUGCCGCGUGCAGGAAGAAGCAUCUAUGGUGUGUAAACUGCUUUUGUACGGGAAGAAACACUCCUACGUGUAGGAGCUUGACGGUACCGUAAGAAUAAGGAUCGGCUAACUCCGUGCCAGCAGCCGCGGUAAUACGGGGGAUCCAAGCGUUAUCCGGAAUCAUUGGGUUUAAAGGGUCCGUAGGCGGUUUAAUAAGUCAGUGGUGAAAGCCCAUCGCUCAACGAUGGAACGGCCAUUGAUACUGCUAGACUUGAAUUACAAGGAAGUAACUAGAAUAUGUAGUGUAGCGGUGAAAUGCUUAGAUAUUACAUGGAAUACCAAUUGCGAAGGCAGGUUACUACUUGUGGAUUGACGCUGAUGGACGAAAGCGUGGGGAGCAAACA